CAGCAGUUCCUUCCGUAUUUCUUCCGUCCAUGCAUCUGCUUGGUGCCGCUCAAACAUCCCUUUAACAUCUUAACUUUACAUAAUUCCAAUUGCCUUUAGGAUUUUUUCUGAGUUGAGCUACCGGAUACUUGCUAAUUUCUAAAACCGGUAUAUGCAUGUGUACGUGCCAGUCAUACUUUAGCAAGCAGAAUACCCAAGCUUUUGAUACAGCAC
rnacentral:lncRNA from 1 species